CCGGAAGGAAGCAGCAGAAGCUACACUUUCUCGAGGC
rnacentral:SRP_RNA from 1 species